rnacentral:tRNA from 1 species
AUGGGCAUAGUUCAGUGGCACAGCAUCUGUCUGGCAAGCACAAGGUCCUGAGUUCAAUUCUUAGCACCAACA